GAUGAACGCUGGCGGCGUGCCUAAUACAUGCAAGUCGAGCGAACGGACGAGAAGCUUGCUUCUCUGAUGUUAGCGGCGGACGGGUGAGUAACACGUGGAUAACCUACCUAUAAGACUGGGAUAACUUCGGGAAACCGGAGCUAAUACCGGAUAAUAUUUUGAACCGCAUGGUUCAAAAGUGAAAGACGGUCUUGCUGUCACUUAUAGAUGGAUCCGCGCUGCAUUAGCUAGUUGGUAAGGUAACGGCUUACCAAGGCAACGAUGCAUAGCCGACCUGAGAGGGUGAUCGGCCACACUGGAACUGAGACACGGUCCAGACUCCUACGGGAGGCAGCAGUAGGGAAUCUUCCGCAAUGGGCGAAAGCCUGACGGAGCAACGCCGCGUGAGUGAUGAAGGUCUUCGGAUCGUAAAACUCUGUUAUUAGGGAAGAACAUAUGUGUAAGUAACUGUGCACAUCUUGACGGUACCUAAUCAGAAAGCCACGGCUAACUACGUGCCAGCAGCCGCGGUAAUACGUAGGUGGCAAGCGUUAUCCGGAAUUAUUGGGCGUAAAGCGCGCGUAGGCGGUUUUUUAAGUCUGAUGUGAAAGCCCACGGCUCAACCGUGGAGGGUCAUUGGAAACUGGAAAACUUGAGUGCAGAAGAGGAAAGUGGAAUUCCAUGUGUAGCGGUGAAAUGCGCAGAGAUAUGGAGGAACACCAGUGGCGAAGGCGACUUUCUGGUCUGUAACUGACGCUGAUGUGCGAAAGCGUGGGGAUCAAACAGGAUUAGAUACCCUGGUAGUCCACGCCGUAAACGAUGAGUGCUAAGUGUUAGGGGGUUUCCGCCCCUUAGUGCUGCAGCUAACGCAUUAAGCACUCCGCCUGGGGAGUACGACCGCAAGGUUGAAACUCAAAGGAAUUGACGGGGACCCGCACAAGCGGUGGAGCAUGUGGUUUAAUUCGAAGCAACGCGAAGAACCUUACCAAAUCUUGACAUCCUUUGACAACUCUAGAGAUGGAGCUUUCCCCUUCGGGGGACAAAGUGACAGGUGGUGCAUGGUUAUCGUCAGCUCGUGUCGUGAGAUGUUGGGUUAAGUCCCGCAACGAGCGCAACCCUUAAGCUUAGUUGCCAUCAUUAAGUUGGGCACUCUAAGUUGACUGCCGGUGACAAACCGGAGGAAGGUGGGGAUGACGUCAAAUCAUCAUGCCCCUUAUGAUUUGGGCUACACACGUGCUACAAUGGACAACACAAAGGGCAGCGAAACCGCGAGGUCAAGCAAAUCCCAUAAAGUUGUUCUCAGUUCGGAUUGUAGUCUGCAACUCGACUACAUGAAGCUGGAAUCGCUAGUAAUCGUAGAUCAGCAUGCUACGGUGAAUACGUUCCCGGGUCUUGUACACACCGCCCGUCACACCACGAGAGUUUGUAACACCCGAAGCCGGUGGAGUAACCUUUUAGGAGCUAGCCGUCGAAGGUGGGACAAAUGAUUGGGGUGAAGUCGUAACAAGGUAGCCGUAUCGGAAGG
rnacentral:rRNA from 1 species